AAAAGAAAAUAAAGUUGAAAGAAAAUCUUCACACAAAAAUGAUAAAGCUCAUUUGCCAAUAUCUUCUAUUGGGACUUUUUUGCAUUGCGUUUAUCAUGACUUCAGGAGCAACUCCGGAUUUCAACAGUCCAAGUUAUGCUUGCCUUGGGGUAUGUGAUGAUAUGAAUAUCUGUAUCAAAACAUGCAUGAACUUGCACUAUCGUACUGGAGUUUGUAUUAAUCCAAAAGUAUGUUGUUGUACAAUGUAGAAUUAUGUAAUCAAAACCAAGUCUCAAAUAAAUAGAAUCAAUGGGAAGCUAAGAUAAAUAAGCAAUUAUGCAAUAAUAAAUUGGGAGAAA